rnacentral:rRNA from 1 species
GGGAAACUGCCUGAUGAGGGGGAUAACUACUGGAAACGGUAGCUAAUACCGCAUAACGUCGCAAGACCAAANAGGGGGGACCUUCGGGCCUCUUGCCAUCGGAUGUGCCCAGAUGGGAUUAGCUAGUAGGUGGGGUAACGGCUCACCUAGGCGACGAUCCCUAGCUGGUCUGAGAGGAUGACCAGCCACACUGGAACUGAGACACGGUCCAGACUCCUACGGGAGGCAGCAUG